rnacentral:rRNA from 1 species
AUGAUGGCGAGCAAUGUGAAUCCAGAUGCUGUAACUUAUAAUAUACUCAUCAGUGGAUUGUGUAAAUUGGGAAAAUAUGCAGAAUCUCUGAAACUUUUUGAAGACAUGGUGGACUUGCGAAUUCCUUUAACCAAGGAGGUUUACUCAUCCUUGAUUUGUUCAUAUGUCAAACAGGCAAGUGUUGAUUUUCAUUAG